AAGUUUAAAAAUAAAGAAUAAAAAAGAAUAUAAUUUGGAAAAGAAUAUAACAAUAAUUAAGGUCGUAAUAUAGAUUUUUAGCUAAUCUUUGAAUUGAUACGACUAAUGUAAUAUUCUAUAGCAUAAUUUUAUACAGUUUUGUUGUUCGAUAUUCACCUCUUUUUAUUUUUUGACUGUAAGACACAGAAUGAUUUUUUGUGUUACACAAACAUAGAUAAUAGCCAAUCUUCUAAGUAGCCAUUUUUUAAAUAACAGUGAUGAAUAUUCGUUAGUAAUUACGUAUAAUGA
rnacentral:lncRNA from 1 species